rnacentral:lncRNA from 1 species
GUUGGGAUAGGUACGGUGUCAACCUUGGUCCAUCAACAGCGCCAUGAAGCUGCUGUGUGUUCAUGUUCUGUGUUUGUUUGUCAUCUGGUCUGGAGUCGGUGGCGAAGCACCCAAAGGAUGUGUCAUCAUAGAAGUCAGAGAGACGACUGUGAAAUUAAAUAAGGAACUUCUAAA